UUGCCAGUGCACAAAUUUUCUCACUUACUUUUUUUUUGGGGAAAAACUAUUGAUAGUAUUGAGCAGACUGCAUUAUAAAUCACAUUAACGAAACUAAUACAAAAAACUAUUUUCCAACUAGUGUGAAUUAUAAUAUGUAUGUCUAUGGUCAGAACCCGUCCUUUGGUGGUGAAAAAAAAAAUAAUAUAAACAUAAUUCCAGGAGUGAGUGGCAAUGGUAUUGUUGAAGCCUUACAUGUAAGAAAUGCAAGUCUGGAUAUUUUGAAUGUAACUCAGCCAACUUGGAAAAGGUUGAGGUAUAUGACAAUAACAGAUGGCCACAUUAAUAGAAUUUCUGGUGAAUUUUCCAAGCUUACCCUCAUAUCUUGCCUCAAUCUGUCAUCCAAUAGUAUAAGUAGAUUUGAUGAGAGGUCACUUGUUAAUCUGUAUAAUCUGUCUCAUUUGGAUCUUUCUCAUAACAAUUUAUCAGAAGUACCUAGGUUUAAAAAGGAAGGAAAUGUUACUCUGGAUAUCUCUUAUUCGAAUAUUUGUUUGAUAAUUGCAAUAAUACCAUUCAACAACAAAUUUUAUCCUG